GCCUGUUUAAACAAAAACAUAGCUUUUUGACUAAUUAUAAAAAGUAACUUCUGCCCAAUGAAUCUUUUAAAUGGCCGCAGUAUUUUGACUGUGCAAAGGUAGCAUAAUCAUUUGCCUUUUAAUUAAAGGCUGGAAUGAAUGAAUUAACGAAAAUUUUUCUGUCUCAAUUCAACUAAUAUAAAUUAAUUUUUAAGUGAAAAAGCUUAAAUAUUUUUAAAGGACAAGAAGACCCUAUUGAGCUUUAUUUUUAAUUACACUUUAUUAAAAAUAAAAUUCUAAAUAAUAAAUGUAAAAAAAAAUUGGUUGGGGCGACCAAAGAAUAUUAACAUCUUCUUCAGGUAUCCUGGAAAAUGAUCCAUUAUAAUAAACUAAUUAAAUUAAAUUUAAAAAGAGCUACCAUAGGGAUAACAGACUAAUCUUUCUUUAAAGUUCAAAUUCACAGAAAGGAUUGGCACCUCGAUGUUGGCUUAAGAUACCUUUCUUAUGCAGCAAUAAGUAAAGUAGGUUUGUUCAACCUUUAAAAUCU
rnacentral:rRNA from 1 species